CGCCCCAUCUCCCUCAGGGGGCACUUCCAAGUGCCCAGAGCAUCUUCUAAACGUGACAUCUACUCAGGCCCUGGAGUACAUCAUGUUCUAAGAACAUUGCUCAAUUCUUUCUCCUGUGGGAAGGGUUGUGUUACUAAGAACUAAGAACUACUGUGGCGUGAGUUCUCAUCUAAAGGGAAAAAUCCGCAGAGGUAUGUGAGGUCCAAUUCUGGCAGACAGACCCUGAGCGCUCAUUCUCUUCUCUCUCCAAGAGCUAGUAAACACGUAACACGUGGGCAAACCUUUCACAUGGUUUGGAAAAGCCUGCCUAUAGCACACACAUAUCUGUUCCACUUUUGUUCCUCAAUGGGUGAGCGGUCUCUUCUAAAAAAAGCCAAGGACAGGCAGGAACCUCUUCCUUCUGUGGUUUGGACUGGGAGUCCCAGGCUCCAGACCCAGUGAGUCUCCUGUCUGGGACUGUCUCCUCUCCCAGACCCAUGACCCCUGGCAGGCCCAAGCCUCCCGACGCUGGCCUUUUUGUUUCUCAUUUGCUCCAAAACGAGCUGGUUCUACCAAAUGACAUUUGGUGUGAGGCUGGUUUCUGCAUUGAGCCUCAUCUAAAGAGACUUUAGCCCAUGCCUGAAAAGCUGUUCUGCCGAAAAAAAGAGCCUUCCAAAUCGUUCAAAACCAUUAAGAAUGUUGGCUUCAACUUCAGAAAGGCAAGAUAAACAAACCCAUGCCUGCUUGAGCCUUUGCCUUUAAUUCACCGGUGCCCAGAAACACCCCAAGGCUGUUAUAGAGCCACCUCAACCAUUUCCAAGGGGGAGGAAAUUCAUUUUGGUGCCCAAUGUUCAGUGAUGGAAUGUGGUCACCAAGACUGGCUUAUCUGUAACCUCUAUGUAAAAUCAGGGCAGUUCUCUCAUAGGUCCCAACAUAGAGAAGGAAGCUUCCUUCCUAAUAAUGAGCCCUUCCUCUUCCACCAGACCACACUUCUCCAGGUCAGUGAGCCUGGAGCAUGAAGUCUACAGAACCAAAAGGCCUCAAACUCCAACCAACCGUGAUUAACUCUGCAUGACCUGAAAUCAAAGGUUCAGGAAUCUGCUCUGAUUCUGGAUUCUAGAAUUUUCCCCAAUUCUUCUGACUUAAUAAAACUAGGAGCGUGGGGUUCAUGCCCACUGUUGCAAGGAGGGAGGGAGGAAGGGAAGGAGGAACACCAGAAAACCUCUUAUCCAUUCUUAUAUUUUGUGCAUAUGACCCAAAAAGACAAACAGAAAAAAAUAAGGAGCAAGCCCCAACUUGUGGACCCCAGGCAACCCUGCAAUUUGCAAACAACCCAGCAUCUGAGUUUAGUGGAGCAGCUUAACCUUCUGGCAGGGCCUGGGGUGGUCCCCAGAAAGCACACUCACCUAGAGCUAAACAAUGACUGGCCAGGACAAGGACGGGCUUUUCCCUUUAGGACACUUUCGCUCAACAGAAUUAACUGGUCACAUGGGUAUAUGGUCAAAAACUAGAAAAAAAAAAAAAACUGAAAAAACAAGACCCCAUAACUUUCAAAAGUUAAAAGAAUCUUAAUACUUGAAAAGCAAGAGUUCUGCUGGUUUUUCUUCCCUUUCUGGAAGUCCCAAAAGGGGACAUCACAGUCAACCAACCAGAUGUAACAAUUAUACCUUUUAAUGGCUUUACUGGGAGUAAGUUAGUUCUAUUUCCUAACAGUCACAAUUCAGUCAGGAGGGCUUUCCGUGUUGUUUUGGGAAGCUCUGACUGGCAUGACUGGGUGGUCAGUCAGACCAACACCUUUUCUUUUCCUGCCUAUAUCUCAGGCAAAGAUGGAAGUUACAGAUUUGGCAGACCAAGGCCAUCUCUAUCUCUGUAUGGUGGGUAUAUAAGCUACAUGUCAGGCAGGACUUGCAAAAAGAACAUUUUUUUUUCUUCUUUUACUUUGGGAAUACAUGAUAAGCGUCUGAACCAUCAGAAGGCCUAUGAAUAACUUAAAAAAAAAAAAACAAGCAAGCAAAAAAACCAACUCAGGGUGGGGAGAUUUCUCAGUGGGUAUAAGUGUAAGGUUCAGAGUUCAAACCUCCAGCACCUACAUAAAAAGCGUGGCUACGCAUUCCUGUAAUCCCAUCACUGGGGGACAGGUGAAUCCCAAGAGCCCACUGGCUAGCUAGUCUAGCCAAGAGUGAGCUUCCCGUUUACUGACAGACCCUGUCUUGGAGCUGUGAGGUGGUGGGCAACAGACAGCCUCCUCACAUGUGUGCCUGGUUGCCUACAACCCCCCCCACCCCCGAUAACUUCAACCUCACUUUUACGUUGUUUACAGAGGAUCAAUGGCUUGUGCCGUGUGUCAUAUUACCCUCCCACUCUCUAAAACCACAAUUUCAAACAAAACACCACUUAAAAAUUCCUUCACUUGGCCAGGCGGUGGUGGCACACACCUUUAAUCCCAGCACUUGGGAGGCAGAGGCAGGCGGAUCUCUAUGAGUUCGAGACUUGUCUGGUCUACAAGGGCUAGUUCUAGGACAGCCUCCAAAGCCACAGAGAAACCUUGUCUCGGAAAAAAAAAAAAAAUCCUUCACUUCUAUUUAUAAAAGAGGUCUGUAAGUGGAUAAUUUGGGUGUGCUGAAAUAAGAUGACCAACCACGGACCAUAACUGUAAUUGUGGUAAAACCUUCUGUGUGUUUUGCCAGAAAAACUCCCAUUUCCUUUGCCAUCUCUGUCACACUGAAAGAGCCCUCACAGGCUCACAGGUCAGAUGGAGAGGACCCAGUCAGCCUGGGACAGCCUUGCCGGGGCAUCCCAGGGCAGUGACUGAGCUCUGGAGGAUCACCGGCCGGCUGCAUGUUACCGCUUUCCAGGUCAUUACAGUCACGAGGACAGAAGGACCCGGGGACAGCACAGGGCCUGGACAAAGGCGGCACCUGAAGGAAAGUCUUUGUUUCAAAAGGGAAAGAGCCAGUCCUGUGGUUGAGGGGGCUUCACACCUGUACCCUACAAAGCGUGGGUCACAAGACCAAAGCCACAAGGAGGAAACCAAGGUGAAUGCCAUGACAGGAAAUGAAGGUGAGGCUGCAGGACACCUUAAAAAAAAAAAAAAAAAAAGGAUUCUGAAGCAGCAUGCAGUGGCACACCCAGAAACUCUAGCACUUUGGGAUGUGAGGUAGGAGGAUUGAGGGUUCAAGGCCAGACUCAGCCACAUAGUAAGUUCAAGGCCAGCCUUGCCCACUUGAGGCCCUGUUAAAAAGAAGGGGGGGGGGAAUGACCAAACACCUCUGGGGAGGCUUUGGUAGGUUCUAAAGAGGUGACUGACACACACAUAGCUACAGGAAGUCUGAGUGUGCCUAAGGUCUUUCCACAGUGAAAUCUGGCCACUCCAGGACACUCUCCCAUCUGCAGAUUAACCCCCUACUAGGCAGAUAACCUGCCGCCCACGUGGUGGGCUUCUCACCUCCAACUCUGUUCAAGAGAUUGGCUGAAUUGCUAGAAAUCUCAGACACUGAGCUCUUCCUCUUUAAUCUUUUAAAUGUAAAGAACUUUUGCUGUCUGUCCAGUUCUAACGAUUGCUACUUGUUCUGUAAAAACUUCCCAAACCCCUCCCUCCUCUGGAUUCACAGCAACCACGCUUUGAUGGUAUCAAGUCAACUGAUGUUCCCUGGCUUUGUUAAGUACUUUCAACUGAUAACAUUUUCAAGUCCACAGUGUACGCCAGGCAUUGUGUCAAGUGCAGGGGCUAUAAAGAAAGAGACAGGGUCCCCUGGGAGGGCAGGUCACAGUUACAGACUGCAGACACCUCCUAUAUUGGGAGAUCUGUGAGCACCACGCAUCAGUUGGCUUCAGCAACACACCCCCACUCUGUUCCUAGCCAGUCCUCUCAGCUCUGUGAGCACCCCCAAGGUUUUUUUUUUUUUUUUCCUGAGCUCCACCGCUUCAAAGAAGGCCUCUGCCUGAUUUGAUUCUCUCCCUUUAUUCCUCCUCAUAGCCAGUGAGCAAUGGUCAGAUGCCAGGCACGAUCCUAUUACAUAGAGACUCAGAGACAAAAGACAGUCUCUACUUUCAAGUAGCUUGUGGAAGAAGAAAAACAUCUGAUUAUAACACAGUUGUUAAAUCCUCUCAGAUUUUCUCCCUCCCUCUCGCUUCCUCCUUCCAGCCAUUUGGCUUUCUGUUUCUUUCUUUGCCUUCCAAAAAAAGGAGCUGAGGCAUGCCAAGGGAAGUGAGCCAGGCAUGGUAAGAGGGAAGCUGAUAUGGGGGGGGGGUACCUGAGGUGACUGUCAGAUCCAUGGUCAUCAGCCAGGUAAGAUGGAGGGGAAAGCACUGUGGGGCAGAGGGGCUGGCAGACUCCCGAGAGCUGGGAUAGAGCCUGGAACCCAAGAGAACGGAUUUGCCUUUCAGACAGAUUAGCCUGGAGCAGAGUAGAAGAGCAUAUGGAGAGUGACUUGCAGCCAAAGAAACCAAAACACCUAGUACAUAGAUGCCAAAGCAGAAACGCUACAUCCUAAGCUGGACUGAUGUGUGUAGUGAGUGUCUGGGGCCACUGCUAAAGUGUCCUUCUGGGAGCAUGAAGCAAGUUGCACACUGCUUGGUCCUGGCCACAAGGUGGCAGCCUCACACAACCAUUGCAAUGGAAAACUAUAGCCCUCUGAAGGAGAGGGAACGAGGCUCCCACCACCGGCAGGGCAGAGCCACAUCAAUUCCACAGGGACGCUAAGGAGGGUGUAAGCUCGAAGCUUACUUCAAGAAUGCUUCUCUGUCAUUUGUCAUUCCCGCUGCAGAAGCGCCAGGAAGUCAGUGGGCCUGGUGAGGAGUCAACAGCAGUGACCUUCCCCACUGGCUGGCUAUGCACAGAGCAGAGGGCUGGGCAGGCAAGAAACACUCAGAGGUGGGAAAUGGUGAUAUAGGCAGAGCACAGGGACCUCCUGUAAGAGGUUACCACAGGGAACAGCAAGCAAGCCCAGAGUCGGGUCUGACUCUAUGCCUUCGGGCUUGUGGCACAACAUCCAGGUGAGUGAGGCCCACUCCACAAGCACUUUGUCUGUGUUCCUGAACACCUUCCUCCCAGGGAGAGGCUGCCUCGGGUGCUACUUGGACUCAAGAGUGGCUCUUCUUCCUGCUGCCACGCACACUGCCUUCUUCAUGUAGGGAAGGAGAAAAACGAAGGAGUCGGUAACCUAGCCUGGUUGCCUAGUCCCAGUUCUGGCUUCCCCAGUUUGUCCCCUCUUGGCCUGGAUCUCUAAAGGAACAUUCUAGUUAUCUGGUAUCUGCCACUCAUGACAGUCUGGAGAUGGGAGAGGGCAACAACUAGUCCCAACACCUGGAAUAGAGCAUCUGUGACUUGGCCUUUCUAGAAAAGGCAAAUCACCGAGCAGGCCUUUUACACACACACACACACACACACACACACGCACGCACGCACGCACGCACGCACGCACGCGCGCGCGCGCGCGCGCGCGCACAGCACCCGGACAAUGUCCGGGUGACUUGGCUGUGAUCAGAGCUCACCCUGGAAGCAGGGGAGUUAGGAUCCAGAUCUUCUGAGCAUAUGUGUCACAGUGAAGUGGUUACCUGUUCCUAAUUCCACAGGAGGGGAGGGGUGGGGAAUAAGAGGCUCACAGUCCUGGUCCUGUUCCUUUACUGCACCACAGGCUGGGGUAGCCAGCAAGGCCACCCACCAUGCAAGUAAAAAAAAAAAAAAAAAAAAAAAGGCAUGGUAAAGUCCUCCAGCAGGGCUUUAUGCUUUUCUUGUUACAUGCGAGAACCCACUCACCAUUGCAAGGGCUCCAGGGACUACCCACAGGUCCCAGGGAGGGUCCCCUGCACUUAUCACCUACUGAAGCUGUGCUUGUACACAGAGGGUUUUAAUUAACACCCCCAGUUGCUUAAGUCAACGCACCCAAAAGUACUGUAGUGGCCACACCAUUUCCAUGGCAGGGCCUCAAAGCAGACAGAGGAGGAAUGGGAAGGGACCAAAGGAAACGAGUUCUCUAGUCCCAGGUUCUGGGGCAACCACAGCUCUGUGAAAGGGCUUCUGGUCACACCACACACUUGGCAGAAGAAUGGGGGGAUGCUGGAUGCCCACAGGGAGGGAGGGAGGGUGCCACUCCUUCACCUUAACCAUGCACAACUUCUGCUUGCAUGUCUGACCACGCUAACGCAGCCAACCAGAGUGAAAGGCGCUCUCUGCUGAAUCCUCCAUUAGGACCACAGGGUGGGGAGAGAUCUGCUCCACUGCAGCCGCGAUCAGCAAAAAAUACCCUGAGCUUCUUCUACUUCCCCUUGUCCGGUUACAGACCCAGACGCAAGCUCAGCACAGCCUCACCAACACAGCCUGCUGAUGGCUCCUGAUGGCCACUUCUUACUCGAUAAGAGAAACUCUUCUCAUUUUCCCCUGGGACACUAAAACAGGCAUUCUUAAAAAAACAGCUGUCAAAGUAAGCGCUUCAGACCACCACCUCAGGAAAACUUUAAACGAGUGUCACUACCACCACCACCACCACGACCACGAAAUAUGCUUAUUUUAACUACAGACGGGUAAUGACCACUCUUUGAAGGCCCAGCUAUGUGCUGUAUGCUGGCACAGAAAGAAACCACUUCAGAUAUUCAAGCAAAUAGGCUCCUGUGAAGGAAGAGUUCAGUAAAGUGAGCUUUGUGAGCAAGCUGCUCUGACCUCCUCCUGCAGCUUCAAAGAUACUCUAUUGCACAACCAUAACCUUGAAAGAAUUCGGCCUUCCCUGCCAGCUCCAACUCCACAUCCACCUGUCCCUACAGGUAGUAAAAGAUUAGACGCUCAGAACCACAGUGUUGACACAACACUUUUGGGUUACACAGCGCUUCCUUUUAGCCCCCCCUCAGAGGCUGAAGUUCACUUCUUCCAAAGUGGAGGUAGAGUACUUCCAAUAAGAAUGCAAAGUGGGAACUGGAGAGAAGAGUGAAAGGGAUGCUCACGGGGUCUGCACAUGAGGUGUGUGUGCAUGGGGGGUGGGACACAGGACUCCCCACAACCUUCGAUAGCAGAGGCUGAGAUGUGAAGAAAGAAAGUCCACUCAAUUCCGUGCACACCGCUCCAGGGAAGGCUGGGGUCCAGCUGUGUGGGCUUCUCUUAUCCAAAGUAACUACCAUCUGUGUUCCACAUCCUACCGCCUUGUUUGCCACAAUGCCCUUUCUUUGGUCUCGUUACCCUGGUCAUGUGAUCCUCGGUGGAGCAAUCUAGGUCCUCUGGCCCCAGCUCUGGAAGCCACUGCCACACAUGGGGGCACCUAAAAUGGGUCUGGUUUCAGAUUCCUGUCAGAUGCUUUCACUGUCUUUGUUUAUUCCCCUCAACAAGGGACAGUCAUAGGAACAGGAAGUGGCAAGCAGUGGCUUAGGGUGGGGCUCUCCUAAGAGCCUGGAAACUUCCCAGGGGCGUACCCCAGGGAUCUCAGGAGGUUUCUCUUCUGAAAUGGAGGCACCCUUUGUGCUGCCUUCAUUUUGGUCCCUAAUGUUGAAUUUAUGCUUCACUCUAGGGCAGUGGCUCUCAACCUAUGGGAGGAACUAAGACCAUCAGAGCACACAGACAUUUACAUUAUGCUACAUACAGUAGCAAAAUUACAGCUAUGAAGUAGCAACAAAAAUAAUCUUAUGGUGGGGGGGGAUCACCACAGCAUGAGGGACUGUAUUAAAGGGUUGCAGCAUUAGCAAGGUUGAGAACCACUGUCCUAGCGUCUUUAAUGGUUGGUCCUUCUUUCUCUCUGGAGCCCUCACUGCUAACUCCCCAUGACCCUGUGUGCUGAAACUGCCUUCUAGAUCCUCCCUUUCAAUGGGUUCACCUAGGUUCCACAGUGACAGAAACCACACUUGUUUCCCUGUCCCAUCAUCCAUCACCCUUAGCCUGGUGCUGACCAGGGACUGGCAUACAGCACAUGCUCAGUGAGCACAGGACAAACUCUGUCGGCCUUGGCCUUCCUGACUUGAAGACCUCCAACCAGCAAACACCAGAGGAAGGGUCUCUGAUGGUGUCUUCCUCUUCCUGACUUUGCCUCCACAAGAGAAUAAUAAAUGCAGGGAGGGUCUUUCUAGAGACCUAACCAUAAAACUGUCAGUCCAGUAUCACGAUUAUUGAAAAAACCAGUUAACUUUGGUCCUCUGUUCUACAGUGGUGGCAAUAUUCAUUUCUCUGGGAAUAAAAAAAUCCCCAGUUUGCCCAAAUAUUACCUAAAAGAAAGCCAAGUUGAGAACUGGGUUGAUUUUUUUUUGACUUAUGGACUGAUGCCUGGACUCUGCAUUCUUGAGCUUACCUGGCGUGUGAAAACUCAUGUCUAGCUCCGUGUGUCCAAAGACAUUUCCAGCUCUCUCGCUCCAUUUCCUCGUUCCCCUGCAGGCCUGUGGAGAACACCACCCUGCUGUUGGUAAGACCUGUUCAACUGUUUAAUUACACAGCUUGUCCUAGCCAGCAACCUCUCUAAAGCGUCUUUUGUGCCAAGCGCAUGGGCCGCCCACACACAUUCAUUCUCUUGCUUACUUCCUCAUUGCCAGGUACACACACUUCCCAUCUUGUUCACUUCUCACUAACACAACCAUGAUUUUUCACGUUCAAUUUGCCCACGAAAACGGAACCCAAACCCUAUGGCAUUCUACUCUGCCAAAUCUAUACAAUGAAGGGAAGCAGCCAGCAUGGUCUAUAAGAAAGACUCAAUGUCAACAUCUCGCAACUUGGAGAGGUCCCACCACUCGUCGGUGGACUUCAAGUGAGAAUGGGUGGGAGUGGGACAAGAGGCUGCUAACUGGAGAAGAGAGCAAAAGGGAAAAAUAAAACCCAAAUCAGCCAGUUCUGAGUCCAGUUGAUCAGGACAAGAGCAACACGUGGUUUUCGUAAAGGGUUGUGCUGAGACAGUGCCUCACAGAGAACAAGAGAACAGGAUCCAAGGCCUAAGGACUCUGAAGAGUGGGGUCCUGGAUCUGUCACUCACCAACCAUGUGUCAGCAUGGGGCAAGCUGAAUGGGGACAGAGAAAACUACCAGUUGCUGGGAGGAUCGACAUAUUGUAUGAUCGUGCUACACAAAACUGUCAGUUGUCUCUCAUUCAAAGUUCAUAAGAGAAACUUAACACAUUUUGGGAGCAAGAAGGGAUGGUUUCAUUGAGGUGACAGAGAAAGGGAAAAACUUCAGCCUAUCCCGUUUCAUUCAUCCUAUUGGCUAAUAUCACCGAAAUGGGGAAGGGGGCCAGAGUAUACAGGAAGCCAAGUUCUCCCCCGACAGUGGAAUUCCGUAGUUAACUGUGGUGCUGCCUUUGUGGGGCCUGAACUUCCAGGGAGGCUUAGCGGUAGUGAGCGGUCACUUGUUUCUCACCAUGAAAAGGGAGUUGGCCCAUAUGAGCCACACCGCUUUUCUCAGCCUUGGUGGUUGGGCCAGUAGAGUUGUGAACUGCCUUUGUUGCACAGUCUCUUAUGGUCAAAGUACAUCCUGUAGAGGCACAGGCAGAGAGUCUUCGUCAUUAAUACAUGGUCACGAGGUGACCUAGAACACGGAAUGUCAUGAAAGCAUCCAGCUGGAUGAGAGCAUUCUUCCAUAAUACUCUGAAGAUACGUGACUACAUCCAACUGAGUAACGGCCUAAUAGAUAAAAUCUAAAAUGAGUCAGGAAUCCAAAUAGGAUACAAAUUCAAAGCUUGGGUGUAGCUGGCAGACCACUGUAAUUUGAAUCUUGGUUCCUGCAUUUGUUGGCUGUGUGACUCCCCAGGAAAAUGACUAGUUCUCCAACCCUCAGUUGUGUCUGUGCGGGGUGGGUACUGCAGUGGUCUCCUGCCAUAAAGCACCGGGUACAGUGCCUGGCCUAUGCCUCUGACAUGAGUUGCUGUCACCAGCCUCUUCUAUUUGUGUUGAAUCAGGCUCUGUGCUGGGGGGUAGUUUACAGGAAUGAGGAACGUGAGCACAAAAGUGAGUUUUUCCCUGUUCACUCUGACCCCAGAACAAUGACCAUAGGAAAUAUACCCCCAGUAACCUUAGGUACUGGGCUAGUCAUCAUUAGCAUGUGGUAGAUUAUGGGUGAGAUGGCAGUUGAGCACAGGGUACAUUUCUCUCACAGUUAAAUAAAAACAUAAAAAUGCCACCGUGGACGAUACCCAUGACUUGUCCAAAACGCUAAAAGCCUCCUUUAAUUUCUUCUUGGUAAGCAUUCCAGAGGCAACAGCACAAAACACACCAUUAUAGCUUCCACCUCAGGACCAAGCUUCUGAGGAAAAGCCACACCUCGUAAUUUAUAUUCUCUCUGCAUAGUUUGCCUCUAGCUCAUUAUGUAGCCCAGGCUGGCCUUAAGCUCUCUAUGUUCCUGCCUCAGUUACCAAGGUGUUAGAAUUACAUGAGUGUGCUGACCACAUGUGCGAGGCUGCAAGUAAGAGUCUUACUUGCCUUGUUAAUCUGUCUAUAUGUAACCUCGGGGGGUCUAUGCAAACAUCCCAACUUUGUUUCAUUUAAACUGGUGGCGGUUUUUAAUAUUUUAACAAGAGAUACUUGGGAGGCAGAAGUUCCAUCCACAUGGGCAUGACUCAGCCUAAAGCAGCACUCCUAUGACACGGCCCCUCAGGGUUCCCUGUGGUGAGUGGCUUCAUGUUCCCUCCACACGGCCUAUGACCUCAUCAGCCUUAUUUCCUGCAGAUCUAACCUUGGAGCUAACUCAAGCCUAGCUAUGGAUUUAGAAGGUGAUUCAUAUACACUGUGCAUUCCAUGGUGAUGAGUGGGGUGUGUGUGUGUGGGGAGCCUUUGCAUCCGUCUUUAUAUUUUAACACUAAGGAAAAUAAUAUGUAAGAGGAAAGUUACGUAUCUCUCCCACUUGCUCCUGGCUAAUUCUGUAAAAGUUAAAUGGUGUCUGUAUGCAGCAUUUGGGCCUCUGUAAAACCACUGGGCUGCCCUGGGCCAGAGUCCUGAUGCAGAAGUACCUAAUGGGGUGAGGUGAGUAAGGUUGGGGAGCAGCAAGCAGAGCACUGAAGUGGUAGGAGGUGGACAUUAGCAGGAAAAACAGUACUUUAUCCCCCGCCCCGAGAAAACCAUCUGCAAAAAAAAAAAAAAAAAAAAAAAAAAAAACCCAAACCAAAACACCUGUCUGAAUGUGCUGGACUUGCUAGAACCUUAAUUUAGUUGAUAUAAUUUCUCUGGAUAGUCUCAGAGUUAAAAGACUUUGUUGGCCAGGCUUCAAAAAUACAACUGCCCCCUCUGCUGGGAAGCAGCAUUUAGAACCUGGGUGAUGUUGGAUAAGCGUGCCACCUGGAGAAGGUCAAGGCAGAAUGCUGACUAGCAAGGAGGGAGUCUCCCCAUAUGACUGUAGAAAUGUCACCCAUCCCACCCUUUCUAGACCUCACACCCCUACCCAAUCCCAUGGACAGAGCCUUACCUCAUAGCCUCAAAUUCCAACUCCAGAGCCAAAUCUGGUGAACUUCACCACGGUUAAGUACUAUUUAAGUACUAUUUAGAAAAGUGAUAGAGGAAAACCAUCCUCCUAGAUUUCAGAUGAAGAAUGGAUAUUAAUCUAUAUUCAAUUGUUUAUCUUAGAAGUAAUACAUUGUUGAUAAAGAAACUACCAGUGCAACCAUAAGUCCAAGGUAUUUUUUACAGAUGCAAAACUGAGACUAGCCUGGGAGAAAAAAACAGUAUGGUACACUGGUUUGGUGAGCAUAGGCAAGUCUUUCCAGGCAGGUUGUGAAUUUUCCAUUCAUCUGGCUGUGUACUGCACUAAGAAGCAGGGACCAGCUAGCUGUUAUAGUAUUGUAACAAACUUAUCUCCAGGCUGUGGUCCCAUCAAGGCUCAUGAUGUCCUGGGAAUCUGUGGUGUGGCUCUCAGCCUGGAGAAAGGGCUGGAGCUCCUCGACCUGAGGUCUUUGAGGACUUGCUGCUUGCUCCCUGUGAACCAGGCCCAUUCAAAGACAGCCCUCUGGGAGGUACAGUUUGGAGUGCUAGGCUCUCCAGGGCAGCCUGCUUUCCCAGUAAGGGCUUCCUUGCACAGCAACACACAGCUAUCAGAAAAGCACCCUGUGACAGUGUCUGCUUUCAGGCCAGCACUGUGGCCCAGGCAGCUACUUCUGGUCAGGCCUAACCUUCCAUCCCAGCUGCUGUACCAUCUUGGCAAGAGACAGCUACUGUUAGGGAAAGCCAUCCAUUAACAGGGAACUAGGCUUAAGAAAUAAAUUUAUCACCUCAUAAGCCUUGGAAGUCAAGCCAUGAAAUUAGAUAACAAAAAUAUGCUGGGAAAUAUAGUGUUCCUCAAUAUAUAUUGUGCUGUUCACUGUCUACCGUACUAAUAAUAUAAAUUUCCAAGAGUCCUCAAAAGCAGAUCUGCAAAUUAAGAAGAAACAUACAAACAAGAAAGACCAAACAUGGAUUAGGGAAAACUUCGUUAAGACUCUUCUUGAGGAUCAGAUGAUGGUUUAGAAACCAUUACACCAAUAAAUACAUGGUUUUCAUAAAAGAGUGGUAAAAUACUAAUUGUGGAAUCAUCAUGCAGCUGGUGAGUGGAAGGUGUUUACUAUUGGCUGUAUACUUGAGACUUGAAUAAUAAAAUGUUUGUAAAAACUAUGAUCACGCCCUCUACUCAAGUGCUUCAGGCACUUCAGGGCAUCCUGCUACAGAACAAAGUAUGGAAACAGAAAAUAACGGGAACACCACAAACUACCUGGGAAAGACCGAUGACUCAGUGUACAAUGCUGGGGGAUUUACUCUGAAAAAAACCCAUCUGAAUCUUUGCUUCAUACCUUCCUUGGCGUUUGUCAAGUUUAAGAAGGAAAAAUAAAAUUACUUCUUAGAAAAUCAGACAAGUAUUGUCUAAUUUUUGACUAGGAGGAAAGUCUUCAAUACAGAGCAGCAAGCUUUAGCUAGGGGAGAAACAAAGGGUCACUAGAAGUCAAAGAAUGGAGGAAGAAUAUUUGGUCCAAGUACCUCUCAUACAUACAGAGAUUAAAAACUGCAUUUCAGAAAGUCUUAUUUCAGCAGAAAUAUUAGUAAUGAACAUUGACAGACAUUUACCAAAGAAAAAGAGAGACUUGUGAACACAUGAACAAAGCUCAGCUUACUAGGAAAAACUAACAUGGAGUGGGUGUGCUUUACAUACCUAUUGAACAAAUGAACCAAAAGUUACGUAACACUGUCUUAAGACUACCAGGAAAGGUAGUAACAACACCUAUAAAGAGACUGUGAGAAAUUCCAUACUCUGCUAAAAAAUGUGUCUAGCAUGGUGCAAAUACUUGAGAAACAAGUCAGCAAAAUUCAUCAAAAUCUUGUAGUCUGGUUCCUUCAAGACUCACUCACUAUUCAACAUAUCCUAAGGAAAUCACGAGACAAAAUGAGACAAGGUCUCUCUACAUAGCCCUGCCUGGCCUAGAAGCUACACGGGCCAGCCUUGCCUCUGCCUCUUGAGAGCGCUGGGGUUAAAGGCACGCAAGCACCACCUCUACCCAUAAGAAGCGAAUUUCCAGUACUCAUGUAUUUUAGAGGAUAACUACUGAAAUAUGACAAAACUGAACCUCCAAAGGAGAACCCAAGGCACCAUUAAAAUGCUUUAAUGGAGAAAAUGCUCAUUUAAAAACUGGGCUAGACCAAGGGUCGAUAAAGCUCCUGCACUGUGUGAGGAGGUAGAUAUGGGAAGAGAAAUAUGUGACAUUAACACCAACAGAUCUUUGGGGACUUAAGUAUAUAGAAAAAGAGAAAAAGAACAGACUAGUGACAAGGGGGAAUAAGAGAUGUAAGUUAGGGCUGGAGAGAUGUCUCAGAGAUUAGAAGCACUGGGUGCUCUUAACAGAGACCGUAUUCCCAGCCACCACAUGGUAGCUCACAACUGUCUAUAAUGAGACCUAGUUCCCUCUUCUGGCCUGCAGGUAUACAUCAGGCAGAACACUGCAUACACAAUAAAUCUUUAAAAGAGGAGAUAUUAUAGGUUAAAGGGUAUAUAGUUUCUGUUAUUUGAGAUAAAUCAAUGGGAAGUAUGACUAAACAACAGUCAAUAUUGUAGCACAGGGGAAUAUAGGUGCCUUUAGAUACACAAGCUUAACCACGUGAGACACAUAUAAAUUGCUUUUGACUGCUCAUCAAAACAUAUCGUAUACCUUAAACAUAUACAAUGGAAACUUUUACUACCAGUAACUUUGAAUCAGGUUUAAAAUACAAAGGCCAGGUGGAGGAGGUAGAAGGAUCGAAGGCUACCAAAGGUAGACCUUGUCACAAACCAAUGCAAAAAAAAAAAAAAAAAAAAGACAAGAGAAUGACUAUUGCUUUGGAAAUGGGUGUUCAUACCAGUCAAGACCAUUUGAAUUGUUUGUUCACCCAAUUCAAAGUCCAUGUCUGUUAACUGACUUCCCACUCACUCUUUCUCUCACGUCUCCGUUUACCUAGUCAUUGUGUGCUCUGCCACGCCAAUGCCACCUGUUCCUUCCCCUGGGCCUGGAUUCCCCUCUGGCAUUUCGUUCCACGGUUCCACAGUGAGUGAUGCUGGACAGCAACUAGGCCACUGCGCCAAUUUUGCCUUACCCAUCUGCUUACUGCUUGCUCUCUUGGGAAUCCCCUACUUACACAUCAGGAGUCUCUUUACCCUGCCUGACCUGUCUUCCCUUAGCCAUUUACCUGCACAAACUCCAAAUGAAGUCCUCUUCACUGCUGCCUGGUUAUCUGUCUAAGUUGUACAUCCCACCAGGCCACCCUCUUGGAAAUCAUCAGGCCACCACUUGUGGCACACUUGUCUUGUGUAAACAAGGGCUUCCCCAGUGUCUGCUCUCAUCAUUCCUUUUGGGACCCAUGCCUUCUGGCACACCUCCUAGGUCUGUGCCCCUAUGUACCAGGUCCUCAUGGGGAUGGCUCACCACUUACUCCAUCUUGCUAACCUCAACGGCUGCCCUUUAAGGAGGCAUUCUGGACUUCAACUCCAUCAGGAGGUCACACAGGGUGGUGGUUGAAUGUCACAAGCCCCCACCACAUGCUGCUUUAUGUCCCACAGCAGUGUAACCAAGCACCAUAGUCUUCCUUUUGUACUUGUCUACUACAAUUGGCCCUGAGUGACUGUUGGAAGAAUAAAUGUCCUACCACUCAAAAUAGUUACUUACUUUCUUCCACUCUGAGAAAAUUCCCACUUAAGAUUUCAUCGCAUCCCUCAGCUCAACUAUUUUAUCACCUUACCUAUUUACCACAGCCAGAAGACGCAUUAAUUAUUCCUACAUCAUAGCAAGAGCUCUUUGGAUUUAUCUGGGUGUAUUUACUCCCAGUGAGGCUCUCACUAAAGGGUUACAAGCAUUCCUAAACCAGCAGCUAUGCACUGUGCUGCACGUGAAGGGAAAUGGGCAGCAUGGAGGCCCAAGGAGACGAGAAAGCAAGCAGUCAGUAUAUAUGACCGUCAGCAACAGAUCCUCCCUUUUCUUCCGACUAAAACCCUCUGUUUCUUAUCUUUUCCUUGAAGGGUGUGCAAUUCUGUUGAUUGGGUAUCUGUACUUCACAAUCGCCCAACAUCUGUCUUCGAGCAUGACUCAAACUGAGUACAGUGGCUCUGACUAAUGUCAAACCCAUCCUUUAGCCUUCAUGUUACACUCCUUUUAACACACUCAAGAUUCAUGUCGUCUUCCUUUUCCGCCAUGGCUCUGAAGGUAUUCAAUGGAGCUAAUGAACAAUAAAGACUGGAUUUUUUUCAAACAUUGUUCCUUUUGCAUUCAACACGUCCUCACACGCUUACCCAGGAGUGUAACUCUCUCUCUGACUUUCUAUGAGUGUCAGGAGUUAAAUCCUUGUGCUCCUACCUCAUUUGGGGCAUACACCAUGGAAAAACUAACAAAAGAGGGAGGGAAGGAGAGAAAGACUUCCCGAUUUUAUGGUGUAAAAAAAGAUGAGGAAAAAUUAAUUUGAGAAAAACUAGUCAAAGUUGCUUACUAUGAGUCUUUAGGUCUCUAUCCUGAACUCAUAAUUACCUGACUAAAUAGUUACCUGGCUAAAUAGACAGGGUUCCAGGCCCCACAUGUGACACUCCUAACAAGAAGCACUUUCUAAUAUUUAUUGGUAGUCACAUGUCCUCCAUCCUUUGUCCUUUUCUCUGGCUCUGAUCUCCUCCCAGAAGCCUCAUGGAGUGACUUGUGGCCUGGUUAUUUCUUGCUCUUAACAGCAAUUCUUUAGGAAGCCUACCAGCCCAGCCAGGGUAAGGCUCCAGGGUCCAGCUCAACCUCCUACACCUGGCACAUCACAGAGGCUUUUCUGUGUCUAUGGAUGUCUCCAAGGACAACCAAAUGUUGUGUAUCGAUGCAGUCAAAGGAAUUCAUGGGCUUGACCAGAAUCUCAAGGGGGUUCAGCAUCCAGAACAGACUGAUAACUGUAACUCUAAGGCACUGGGUCAUAACUCAGUCCACUCAAUAAAUAGACACACCGACUCUACCUUCUACUCAGCCCUCUGGUGGGAGAAUGAGAACACCCACAGAAUCGCCCAUCAAGCACCCCCAGGAUGUAAUUUGAGGAUGUGAUUAGGAGACAGAGGCAGACUGUAUAUACAGCCUCAUGGCCAUCUUCUCUCAGCCUCUGCUUUCACACAGGUUCAGCAGACCAUCUUCGCUCUCUUCUGAGAGCGAAGCUCUCUUAUGAGUGAAGCUCAUUUGCUAGCACUGGAAUACAAUCAGGGUAUCAGGACUCACAAGUCUCUCUCACAUAAAUAUUACAUCACUUGCCACAAAUGCGCAUCUUUCGUUUUUUUUUUUCCCUACAAUAUACUUAUCUAUUUCCUAUUAUGCUUUAAAUAAUAAAGAAGCACUUAGUACACCAAAACUGCAUUUUUAUCUGUAUGCUAUAAAGGUCAAAAGAAAUCUGAAUACUUAGUUUCCAUAGUUGUCCAUAGGUUAUGUUUGGUUUUGUAGUUAUGAUCACACCCACAGUACUUUCCAUGAUAAGUGAAAUGUAUUACAAAUACACUAGCACAGACAGUUCUUAGAAGCUCUUCCUUAGAUAGAAUGCCAUUUAGAAGUUUCUAGGCAAGAUUCAAUGAGAACCAGAAACCGUUGUCGCACAUACUCACGGUUGAUCGGUCACCCAAGGAUCCCCAAGCACAGGCUGGUCUUGCCCUGGAAGCAGAAGAUUGAAUUCCAUUAGGAGAGCAGAGGGCAGGCUGGCAGAAACUUCGAGUGCCAGCACUACCUUCCUCCAGCCCAUCUUAAUUGCAGGCCCAGGGAUUCUGCAGUCCUCAAGCAUUAACAAUAAAACCACACUAGGUUGUUUUCCUAAUUCCUAUGAAAUGAGUCAGUAGGUCAAGCAACCGAUCCACUUGAAAGCACAAUCCUUACAGCUACACUCCCCAUUUCCAGUAACCCAGCUCCUCUCUGCCCUGGAUAAAAGUGCUCCCACUGACCCAGGAUCCCACAGGGCCAUGCAGACCCAGUGUGGAUGCUGAUAGCCAGCCUACCCUGGGGUUAGCAUUUUGCUUUGACAGUGAGUACUGCUGGUAUAGGGCCAUAUGGGUCAGCUGCCUUACAGUCAGUGUAACCUCUCUGUUGAGACCAUGUAAGUCAUUUGUCUCUUUUACCCCAAAGAUGCUUAAAAUAAACAUAGAAACCCAAUUAAUUACACCUCUAAAAGUCCCCCUGCCCCCCGCCCAAAACCAAACCACUUCCUUCUGAAAAAAUACCUUCUCCUCCUCAAAAGACUUCCAUGUUCCAAAGACUGGAUUCCACUGUCCACACUGUUAAACCACUCCUCAGGGCCCUGCUGUUGGGCAGUGCACAGAGUGUGCAAGAGCUACCAGCUUUUAAACCCUGCCUUUUAAACCCAUGAGUCGAGCUGCUGAACACCUUCGGAAACUACCACCUACUCACCCAGAAGAGGGCCGUUUCAUGUCGUUAGUGACCUUCUGCAUCGGAAAUCACCAGCUAGUACUGGCGAGAGGUCGGUAAUUCCAAGAACUCAUCCAUGCAGGCAAAUAUAAGGACACACAACUUGAUACAGAGGUGGCUAGAUCAGCUCUGACAGUUCUUCAGUGGGAGACUUUUGCUUUCUGAAUCCAAGGGAUUUACUUUCUGUUUUUUUUUUUUUCCAUUUUUUUUCUUUUUAAAGACAAGGUCUCAUUUUGAUCUUGAGAAACUGUCUGAUCAAGCCACCAACUGAAAACCUGCCAUUAUAAACGAGGGAUUUCACAAUGCUCAUUCCAAAAUCUGCGGCUAUUCAUUUCUGGAAGUGACUCACUGAGGAAGAACGGCUGUUGGCGGUGGGAGGGAGGGAUCAUUUUUAGGAGACAGCCGGCACUCUGAGAACUGAGCAGAAACUCCAGAGUAGCUACCACGUGUGUGCACCGACCCCAGCCCAGCUCCCUGAGUCACCCUCCCUCCAGAUGACAUGCAAUGACCAGUCUCAUCAUGAAAGCCACUUGGUGGACAAAAAGCCCUUUGGGCUGUGCACCGCCCCUGCCCUUCGCCUGCCCCUCUGGGGACUAUUUUCACAUAAAUCAGGAGAGGCAGACACACUUGCCACCUGUCAGGACUCCGGGGCUGGUGAGUAACCAGCAUCCAGCGACCACUUCCUGAAGCUUCUCUCUACACAGUGUAGAACACAUGCUGGGCUCAGAUCUCAACGGCUGUGUGGCUGGUCCUGGCCUGUCUCCGAUUGCUGACCAGGGCAGUCUUAGGAGAAAGGGAAAACAAAGUCCAACUAAGCAGAAGCAAAGGAGGGGCAAAGAGCAUGCACCAAGCACAAAGCAGCUUUGAAGGUCACUGCAGUCCUUGAGAGAAGGACCAGGAAGAGAUGAGUCCUGAGAGUCCAGGCUGGCUACCAGAACCAGAAGGCUCUUCCUUUGCCCGCUUCCUUGGGGAGUGGGGCCUGCAAAGAGCUCAAGCUCCACAAUCCAUCCAGGACAGGAAACACAACAUGCUGUGCUGAUAAGCUGCUGGCUCCAGAACCUGCCAAGUGUUCACACUCAGAGACUAAGGCUGAGCUAGCCCACUGCCUGCUCUUCAGCAGGACAGGUGGUGGCUGCCCUCCUGGCACUCUCCUGACUCUUGUUUUCAGUCUGAG
ensembl:lncRNA